rnacentral:misc_RNA from 1 species
AAAAAAAAAAAGAAAAACUUGUAAAACUUACAACCAUGAUAAGUGCAUCAUAAACAAGAAGGUUGCACAUUCAAAUCUAAUAAUCCCUAAUGCAGUACAUUGAAAAGAAGUUUUUUUAAAAAAAUAACUAAAUAUACUAACAAGAAACCAUAAACAUCAGUGCCGGGUGAACAUUGAAAUUAUUAAAACCAAUACUACAAUAGAAUUCCAAAUUCCAAGGCAAACUAUCUAAUGACAGAUUUGAUGGAGAUAUAAUAAAUAUUAGCAGAUGUGGAUAAGUGCAAAACUACUACAAAAGAAGGCAGAAACUAGUUUUAGUUUUCUAACUCUUAAUUUUAGGCAUAAAAACCACAAUAACAUAU